rnacentral:rRNA from 1 species
CAAGUCGAGCGAUGAAACUACUUCGGUAGUGAAUUAGCGGCGAACGGGUGAGGAACACGUGAGGAAUCUGCCUUCAACACUGGGAUAACUCCGGGAAACCGGGGCUAAUACCGGAUACGAGCUCUGAUCGCAUGGUCGGGGCUGGAAAGUUUUUCGGUUGAAGAUGACCUCGCGGCCUAUCAGCUUGUUGGUGAGGUAAUGGCUCACCAAGGCGACGACGGGUAGCCGGCCUGAGAGGGCGACCGGCCACACUGGGACUGAGACACGGCCCAGACUCCCACGGGAGGCAGCAGUGGGGAAUAUUGGGCAAUGGAGGAAACUCUGACCCAGCGACGCCGCGUGCGGGAUGAAGGCCUUCGGGUUGUAAACCGCUUUCAGUAGGGAAGAAGCGAAAGUGACGGUACCUACAGAAGAAGCACCGGCUAACUAUGUGCCAGCAGCCGCGGUAAUACAUAGGGUGCAAGCGUUGUCCGGAAUUAUUGGGCGUAAAGAGCUCGUAGGUGGUUUGAUACGUCGGGUGUGAAAUUCAGGGGCUCAACCCCUGACCUGCAUUCGAUACGGUCAAGCUAGAGUUUGGUAGGGGAGACUGGAAUUCCUGGUGUGGCGGUGGAAUGCGCAGAUAUCAGGAGGAACACCGAUGGCGAAGGCAGGUCUCUGGGCCAAUACUGACACUGAGGAGCGAAAGCGUGGGGAGCGAACAGGAUUAGAUACCCUGGUAGUCCACGCCGUAAACGAUGGGCGCUAGUUGUGCGAACCUUCCACGGUUUGUGCGACGCAGCUAACGCAUUAAGCGCCCCGCCUGGGGAGUACGAUCGCAAGAUUAAAACUCAAAGGAAUUGACGG